GACGAACGCUUGCGGCGUGCCUAAGAAAUGCAAGUCGAGCGAGGUCGAGGCUUCGGCCUUUAGACCUAGCGGCGAACGGUCGCGUAACACGUAAGCAACCUGCCCCAGAGUGGGGGAUAGCCCGCCGAAAGGCGGAUUAAUACCGCAUGUGGACAACUCGACGCAUGUUGGGUUGUCUAAAGCAGCAAUGCGCUCUGGGAUGGGCUUGCGGCCUAUCAGCUAGUUGGUGAGGGUAACGGCCCACCAAGGCGACGACGGGUAGCUGGUCUGAGAGGAUGGUCAGCCGGACUGGGACUGAGACACGGCCCAGACUCCUACGGGGGGCAGCAAUUAGGAAUCUUGCGCAAUGGGCGAAAGCCUGACGCAGCGACGCCGCGUGACCGAUGAAGUCCUUCGGGAUGUAAAGGUCUUUUCUGAGGGAAGAAGGAUGUGACGGUACCUCAGGAAUAAGCCCCGGCUAACUACGUG
rnacentral:rRNA from 1 species